ensembl:Y_RNA Y_RNA Y RNA
GGCUGAAGUUAGUGAUUUAUCUUGAUUGUUACAGAUCAAACUCCUUAUUCUACUCUUUUCCCCCUUCUCACUACUGUAUUUGACUAUUCUUAA